GUAUAGACGCCUCUGGCAUUAGAGCUGGGUAGAUUCCUGACAUACCUACACUCAGACAGUAACUCUGUCCCAUACCCUCCAAGUCCAGGGUGAUGUGUCACAAAGCAGUGAGGUAAGCGUGAUGACUGCUUGCUGUAAGGGCUCCACAGCUGUGUGUUCACACUACAUACCAGCAAACUUCCUGUCAGGUCUUUGCUUCUGCCUGUGUGUGUGCAGCUGUAUACAUGUGUAUAUGCUGUGGAAGUCAGAGGACAUCCUGUCGUCCUCCUCAGGACUGACAUGUCUCAGCAGAGACCCUGAAGGGUCUUUGUGGAUAGACAGCUGUGGUGCAAUCACAUGAUGGAACCUGGUACAAAUACUUCUGUCACUCCUGUACCGAAGCAUCCCUAGAGGCCUUGCCUAUGCCACACAGAAGGAAGGAAGCAAGAGGGGUUCGUCCAGGAGGGCAUUCUAGAAGGCUCUGCCUUCUCGGAAGAACUCACUCAGGAGUCCUCAGGAGACCCCCAUCUUCCACUUGGGGCAGAAGAUAGCGUUGCUGAUGAGCGGACAGCCUGUUGCUAAGUGGGGACGAGAAAAUGGAAGGAAGGAAAGAGAAAGUCAAAGGAGAAAGCUCCCAAGAAUUUGCUUUAUGAACUCCAUGAAGAUCCCAGGUAAUUGCCACCAUGAGGAUGUAAUGGUGCCGUGAGUACAGCUCUCAAAUUCCCCAGGAUGAAGUUCUCUCUGUCAGCCAUAACACGCGGUGCUCAUGACAAAAACAAGUAAAUCUGGAGGGGCAACUGGAGGCAAUGGGGUAAGCUUCCCUUCCUCUGAGCCCUGAGCUAGAAGCCCUGUGGGGGACAGGUAGGCAGGGGCUUCAGAGGCAGAAAGAAGAGGUGCACUAAAAAUAAAUGAAGGGUGAACAUCAAGGAGGCAGAGAAAUUGCACAGGGAUGUAAUCAGCACGCUAAUUACAGGGUCAUAAUUAGGAGUGCUAGGAUGAAAUUAACAAGAGGGAGAUUUUAACUGUCAGGAAGAACUCUAAGGGAGAGAUGGCUUCUCACACAGCGCAGACUGAAGGCCAUUCAUCUUAACAAAGUUGGUCCAAACAAGCUGGCAAGUAUUUAAGGCAAAUUUAUUUUUGUUAUCCUAAGUAGGCUAGGUUACUUGAUGACACACAGAGGCCUCUUGUAUCUAAUUUUAUCAUCUUGUUCUAAUUCUAAAUUAAAUAGUAAAAGAAAAAAAAAAGAACUAAUGAUAAAGAAGCCCAUGUCUGUUUCAUUCCAAAAGUCUGAUUCAGCUGCUAAGGAGAUCAAAGCAGAAAGAAGGAAACAGUCAAACACGGUCUCAUGGAUGGCAGAGUCACAGAUGAAGGGGAAUCUUAAAAUACAGUUUUAUUUUCAAGAAUUAAUACUGAGAUGGAAUUCAACUCGGUCAAGCAUGCUGAGAGGUGUGGCAGAGUUAUCAGUUUCCUCUCUCUUUUUUCUUUCUUGAGACAGGGUCUUGUUGAGGCUGGUUGUGAAUUCACCACAUAUUUGAGGCUGACCUUAAACUCCUGCCUCAGUCUCCCUACUACUGAAAUUAUAGGCAUGUGGCAUCCUGCCUGGCUCAACAUUUAGUAAUUUUAUGAUGGAGUCUUAGAGUAUUCUCCCUGUGAACCAAUAACUGAGACUCAAAACCUGAAAUAUUGUCAAGUUUUAUGUGUUAAAGAUAUUGGAUGUUUAGAUUUUUUGUUUGUUUUUUCGAGACAGGGUUUCUCUGUAUAGCCCUGGCUGGCCUUGAACACAGAAAUCCACCUGCCUCUGCCUCCCAAGUGCUGGGAUUAAAGGUGUGUACCACUACUGUCCGGCAGACAUUUAGAUUUUUAAGAUCAUGAGUAAAACUUAAAGAAAAUUGAUUUUCUCUUCCUCAUUUAGAAGCCCAAGAUAUGAUUCAUGCAACUUUCAUUUGGCAACUGUCUAGGCACAGAAGGCAGGGCUGAGGCGAGGCAGGGAAGCUAUCCUGUGGCAUAGCACAGUAUGGGGAACACACAGAGAGUGGUGAGCUCUGAGAUGGGGGAGCACUCAGGGAGGCCUCAGAUAGUGAUGACAGAAGGGACAGUGAUGCAUGCUGGGAGUAACCCAAGGGAACAGGAGCUGAGCUGAGCUGAGUGCAGGGAAACCUGUGGGGCAGGCGCUGCCACCCUUCCAUUUUCCAAGGAGGGUGCAAGGACAGUCACUCCCAUGAUGUGUACAAAGGCUCUGGUGUCCAUUACAUCAGCAACCAAAGCGUCCGAGUGGUGGUUUUCUCAUCACUGAUUCUUCAAAUGCCCUUAGAAUGUCAGCACAUAGAAACACGCUAGCUCCCUUCCUCACACCCCUGCUCAAGUAAGUUCCUGGUACUCUUGGGAGGCUCUACAAACACUAAGAGAAGUAGGACAAGAGCUUGCUGCUUUUGUUGGGACAGACAGUGCCAAGACAACGCGUGGCUUGUGUCCUGUGAACUCUAGCCAUUUUGACAAGAUUUCCCCAGGGUCAGUCUAAUCUUGGCAUGAGGUGCUUUAUGUUCUCCCAGCCUGUCUGCUCAUCCUUGACCUUCAUAUCAAUUGUGAAUCUCAGUCUAGUGCUAUAAUUACCUUUUUGUGGGAAUCUUUGUAAAACCCUUUUUCUGAAUUCAGAUCCCAAGGUGUCUGAAGCCACAUGAUGCCCUGAGUCAGGACUUAUCACAUACGUUUCCAUGGACCUCACUUCUCAUCAUAUACUACUUAUUACUGCUGGAGUAAAAUUCAUUUAAAAUCCCACAAUGGACGCCCAGCACUGUAUUUAGGAAGGAUAGAGUCUGAAGGCGGACGCAGGACUGCACUAAGGAUAUGACACAGGCUUUGAUCUCAUACCGUGUUAACUAUAUAACUAUGUAAUUGCUAACUUGCCCUCUCUUUUCCAUAUCACCUUUAUGGCUCUGGUAAAAUGCUCACUGCCGUUGCUAAUGAAGUUAGAAGCAGAUCAUCGCUGGGCUUUUGCUCUGCUUGGGAGUUUCCAUGGAUGCAAUAGGGAUUUACAUGCUGUAGUCAGAACAAGGCUCUCAUUCUAAAUGAAAAGGGAACCUGGCUUUUCAAAACAAAAGUGAGGAGAAAAUUCAAGCUGAGGAGACUUUGGGAGCUCCUGUUCUGUUGGGAAAUGUGUUCUGUUGACCCUACUGUAUAAAAAAUAUUCUCAAAAGCUUUAACCUUGCAAGCAGGUUUUGCUUCCCCCUCCCUGUCCAACAGCAACAACAGAUAGCCUUUGGGUCAGACAGCCUUUACUAGCUGGUGGGACAAGCACAAAGACCUGAAAGCCCUGUCCUCAAUGGCUCUAUGACUUGGGAGGCAUGUCGCAUGCACUCUGCUCUUGACCCUGUUUCAUCUCCAAAGUGAAAAGUAAGGCAUGAGACCCAGCAAGGGGGUGGACUCCAGACUCUCCAAACCUAUUCCAGUCUUAAAUUCUUUAUAGUCACCAUCAGGCCAUCUUAAAAAAAAAAAAAGCAGACAAAAGUUUUUGUGGGUAUUUGGCUAAGUCGACCCAAACAAUUCCUUACACUAAGCCCAUGGGAAGCCUGGGACUUCGAGUCAACCUGCUUGUUAGCCAAACUUGCACAACAUCCUAAUUUAUGUUACAGAAAUAAAUGGCCAUUAGUAACCUGGCAAAUAAAAUUUGGAUCUCAAGUAUGAAAACAUGUUUCACUGUGACCAAUAUUAAGUAGAUUGAGCAACAGAGGUGGUUACCCAAGUAUAACAUGUAGGUGCAAUGUGGUUAUUCCUAACAUUCUGGGAACUGUGUUACAAGAGUCAGUGGACAACAGAGAGGAAUUAUGCUUAGAUCUGUCACAUACUUAGAGGGGGAGAAAGGUUGUACGUCAGCAAUAAGUGCACAACUUGAUUCAGGGGAAAUGUAUGUUCCCAGUGAGGUGAAGCACUUUAGCCUACUCUUAGAGCCAAACUUCUGCCCACCCAUCUGUCUCUUCUUACCUCAAGAGUACAAAGAUCUCACACAGGUAACCUAGUUUUGUCAAAUGUAAUUGUUUUCUGCCAAUUCGUUGUUGAUUCACACUAAGUCACAGUUCAUCAACAACAGGUAGCUCAUGUCACUGGAAAGGGUAAACAGAGAGGAUAUGGGGUUGACACAAUGGCUACACCUUACUAGUUUGGGGAGAGGGGUACCAUCAUUCCCAGAUGACUAAUAUUUGCUCUUCCACACACUGGGCACCAAAAUGCCACACACAGUCAAGGAGCAUGAGUCUGAGCAUGUGAAUUUCCUUGUGGCCAGCUUUGGCCAUUUCAAGCUCCCACUGGUUCUUAGAAGUCUAUUCUGACCCUUGUCUUUUCAUAACUUCUGGCUCUACUUGUCAAGUCUUCCUUACUCCUCUCUAAAGUCUAGCCAAGGAAGUAGGGCACAGAAGUGGUUCAGAGCCAGGCUUGAGAAAAUGCUACCUCUCUCCUGCCCAUCUCUGCACUCGGUGCCCCCUUUCUUCAUGUGUAAAUGGGAUGUUUAAUUGGCAGGUCUACUGAAAAGAUUUAAACUAAUUUGUAACCUAACGAACAACUGACCAAUGUGGUCAGCACAGUCAAGUCCUUCUUCCCCCUUCUUUGGAUUCUAGGAUACUGGAUGUGUUUACUUUGCUUCCUGCCUAAAAGCUGCCUUUCUCAUUUUUAAAAAAAUCAAUGAUCCAUUCUUAAAGAGCACUGGGCUCUUCCAGGCUUAAUUCCCCUACUCUCCCUCUACUGCAAGGCUGGCAUGAUAGCACACAGCUUUCUAGAGUUUUCAAUUUUUCCAUUCCUAGCUGUAUCCUCUUACAUCUGUGAUCUAGUAUCUUAUGCCAGUGCCCGAUACACAAAGGUCUGUGGCAGAGUUUGUGAGACCCUAGGUCACAGGAUGCUGUGCUAUCGUCUACUGAGAGGACACAUGGACAUAUCUGCUUUUACCUUUCAUCUUUGGUUGGGCAUUGCCUAUUCUCAAUGUUAAACACUCCAAUUCACCAGUAAAGCUUAUUAUGACACCUUUCUUCUUGAGGAGCCUUCCUUUUCUCUAACUUGAUGGGUCAUGUCACCAGGUCAAUCACUGCCAAGUAAGCAACCUCCAGUCAAUUUGUUCUUCCUUAAGCAUCAUUGAGACAAUGGCAAGAACUUGUAUUAUUUUCCUGUUUUUCUAAUCAGUAUGACCCCAUCUGCAGCUAUCAUUUUAGGCCCCUUUCAGUGAUUUCCUGCCUGGCUCUCCCUAACAUUCCCCCUCAAUACCCUGAGAGAGGCCUCAAGGAAGGAACCAGCAAGUGUGAACUCUGUCCCCCAAGGCUUUUGAGAAAGCCACCCAAGUCUGAGCAGGCAUUCAUUGGUAGAGGACACUGGCUUGGAGGAAACCACCUGUCUGAAGAGCUAAAAGGCUUUUUAUGCAACAUGCUAGACAUGGCAUGAAAUGGCUGUUCAGGAAUGGUGGCAGUGACUUUAACCCUCCUGAACCUCUUCUGACUACCCAGUCAUGUCAUUAAGACCCAUCAGAAUCCUGUCAUUGGCAACUGUUUGGUGACUUCUGGCUUCUUCAGAUUCCUACUCUGAUUUUAUACAGUUUAAGUAGUUAAACACACUGCUUUACAACUAGGUUAAUACAAUUUUUUUCUUCUUUUGUACACUGUUCUUCUCAAACAUAUGCCCAUGGCUACCUGUGCUUUGGAUGAGCUUCUCAGACCUCAUUUCCAGAUGUCCUUGAAAUGACAACUUUUAAUGAAAGCCUUCCUGAUUGAAUAUUGGAAACUCCCUUGAGGAAACCAAUUCUGUCUGCUGUGUCCUGCCAUCUGCUCCCAAAUUCUCACGUGACCUGAGCAAAGUACUUCCCUUCUCCAUAUUAACUGGGCAGGCAGGAUGCAUUCAAGCUUCUCCUAGCUGAGAGACCAGAUUGUUGGUGCUAAAAUAUGUGGCUUCUGCCCUGAGAGCAACUUAUAAGCCUUUGGCCUUCCUUGAUGUCCUCAAAGGCAGAGCCCCAUUACCUGAGCAAGUCCCUAGCACAGCCCAACACACUGCUGCCCAGGACUAAUGUGUGCACUUAGACAACAAUGAUCAAAGCACUUCCAGAGGCACCGGCAGCUGCCACUAGAUGACUCAGACCUCUCUGAAAAAUGGCUUAAUUUAGCAGCCUUUCAGUUGUCUGCAGAACAGACUACCAGUAAAGGACACAGUGAACAGAACAGAACAUCUUUUAACUAGUUUAACCCCACAGUGGCCCUUUAAGGUCAGGUAACUCUCUAUAGCACUUAGAAGCAUUUGCCCUUGCUCUUUAGCCAGUAGAGAACCAGGGGACUGGGGAAACCUUGGGAAGACUGCAGUGGCUGAACCUAAGGCUGGCCUUGGUCACUGACUAGCCCUGGGAGUAGCAUGGGGUAUUGCUUCUCUUCUUGGGCCUGUAUUUCUCACCUGGAAAAUGGCUGUGGCAGUGCUCCCCAAACCUGGCAAACUAAAUUACAAAGAAGUCACAGUUCCCUACUCCUAGAGAUUGACCCCGUUGGCCUGGCAUGGGCACAGGAUGAUCGAUGUGUUUUCUGUAUGGUUCCCUCUUAGGAGCAAGUGCUGCUAGCAGCAAUGUCUAUGAUACUGGAUUCUCUGUCUGGUGUUCUCAUAUAAUCCUGUCUCUUCCAAGUUCCCAAACCAACUAGAUCACAUGAUCUUCUGUCCUUCCUUUUCCCUUCUCUCUUUGAACCGAACUGGACAGUUUCCAAGUAUACUGCAUGGUAGAUUUUGAAAUCAAGGACUGGUUUGUAAGACUCAAUAGCUACUCAAGGGUUCACUAAAGAGGCAAUCUCAUUUUGACAGAAACCCAAGCACAAGUGCAGCAGGUCCCUCCUGAACACACAUCUCUUACCAACAAAGAACACAGAAAGCACAGAGCAGAGAGCAGGCCUGCUCUACAACACAUGGGGAUUCUUCUAAAAUGAACACUGCAGCUGCAUAUGGCAGGGUGCUGACGCAAGAGGACUGCUGUGGGUUUGAGGCCAGGGUAGGCUACAAAGAAAUUACCAGGCCAGCCAAGAUUUCAUAGCAAGACCUGAUCUCAAACAAAAAACAGGACCGGUGAGAUGCUCAGCAGAUAAAGAUACCUGCACCAAGCUUGGUGAACUAUGUUUGAACCACAGGACUCCAAGCUGGGAGGAGACUACUGAGUCCUACAUGCUGUCUUCUAAACUCCUGUAUGUAGCACAGCAUGCACAAGCCUCCCCCAAUAAAGAAUAAAUGUAAAACCAAUCAACUAACCAA